CAAGAAUACUGAACUUCGAAGAAAAUUCAAAACGGAAAGUCUCUAAUCAAAUGGCAAAGAUCAAAGCACAAACACAUCAAACGAAUGGAUAACAACUAUCCUAUUCUUGGUACAGGUAUUUUCUUAUGUAGAAAACGGUGGAUUGAACCUGGUUUUAUAGCUAAGAUAAACCGAAAAUAUCUAAUAAUGGUCGUUGUUAUUGUGAAUCCAGUUUUUUGAGUAGGAGUUAACAGUAAUUUACCAAUGUUCAAAUCUCAUAUAUCCAUCCAGGGUAAAAUAUAAUGCCUCAUAUCUACUGAUUUUCUUUUCAUACAAGACUUCAACAGCUCAUAAAAAGUUCAUUACCAAAAUUUUAGCAGAUUCUAUUUUUUUUUCUUACAAUUUUAACCCCAACUGUACUGGUGGGUCUUAUGUAAGCGAGUCGCGCGUCUGGCGUGUUGGGUUAUACGCCUGGUGCCUUUGGUGGCUGUUUACCAAUCCUAAAUAAAGGUAAAAGUCAGAGUCAGCCUUUUCCC
rnacentral:lncRNA from 1 species